rfam:Treponema denticola ATCC 35405, complete genome.
ACCGCCACGGAUGGCGGUGGUUAAGACUCUUAGAGUUUUGCUUACGCAAAACUCUAAGAUCAAAAAUGUGCGUCCAUGCACAUUUUUGAUCGCUC